GCCUAACUGGCUCACGGUCAAUUAAAUAGACAGCAAAUGUAAAACUCGCCAUUGCGACAUCACUACAUGGGCCGAAUGCUGGCGCUUGAGAAUUUAGCUUAAUGAAACGGCUUUUGUGGUGCUCGGUUGAACUAUGGUUGUGGGGGGAUUUCAGCACUCUGUAAUCUCAGACCACCAGUGCGCAGGCCUGAAAAGAUGGAAACUAAUCUGUAAAUUGGCCUACAUCAAGAGUUUUUUCCCCCAAAACGUUUUUCACAUACGGACAUGAUGUUCUCAAAUGGCUGAAGGGGAAGACCAAGAUGAUGACUGUGCAAACACACCGCUGGGCCUCGACCUCAUUCCUGAGUUCUACGUUUCAGCUCGACCCAAAGCAUCCAGCGCCUGCCAGCCGUGGCUGUCAUGCAGACAGAGCAAGUUUCCCCUCAGGAUUGGGCACAUGUCAGAUAAAUCAAGCCGCAACAGGGCCGUGUUUGUUUGUUUGUUUGAUCUGGGCAGUAUGGAUUUAAAUACUGUGAUAAAUACUGUGAUUGAAUUGGCAGGAAAUGGGAUAUCAUCGUAUCAUACCAGAGACGUUUCAAUCUUAAUGGUUAAGUAAGAAAGGUAGUUAGUCCAUAUCGAUUCUUUGUUUAUUUGCCUUGUAGGUAUUUUUUUUCCAGAAAAGAAUACUGGCAUGGCAGUCUAUAAGGAAGACCAGUUGUAGUCAGUGUUGUUGUAAUGGUAGAGUUUCAUCCUGAAACAACAAAUCACAAUACUUUUUGUCCUGUUAAAAUAGGUGGUCUUCACUAAAUUAUGAAUCAGGCAUGCUGAUUCCACAGAUAAAAAAACUGUCCACUUUAAUUUUUUUAGCAGAAGAACGUGGGAGGACUGGGUAUUUUAGUUUAAAACAUGGAAGUUAACCUUUGAAAAGGAUCCGAGAAACUAUGUCUGUGAGUGAACUUACUUCAGAUUUGGCAAGUGAUCUGACAACCUAAGGGCCUGGAUGUGUUUCAUUAAUGAAAGGACCACACAGGGCUGUUGCCUGGAAAUCACAGAGACUCUUGGGAUACAUGGCAGUAACAACCAACACCAUGAGAUUAGUUCUCUUUCCGUUCGACCAACUGUAUGCAGAGCACAAUCACCAAAAACAAGCCCCAAUCUCUCUCCUGAGAAAAACAAUUACCUGCCUCUUUCUGGGGUAAAUCGAGAGGCUUAGCAGAGCUAUUAAGUGAUUACUGUGAUGGCACUUGGCAAGUGCAUGUAAAUUCCCCAGACCCACUCCUUCAUAGUUGACCAAUUAUUAUUUAGAAGAAUAUCUACCUCUUUGAAGGAACAGGGAGUUAUAUGGAUGACAGUUAUAUGUCAUAAUCUCACACUGAUCG
ensembl:lncRNA